ensembl:piRNA 21ur-1066 ncRNA
CUAUUUUCACACCGUUAUUAU